UAAGGUAGCGAAAUUCCUUGUCGGGUAAGUUCCGACCUGCACGAAUGGUGUAACGAUCUGGGCACUGUCUCAGCCAUGAGCUCGGUGAAAUUGUAGUCGCGGUGAAGAUGCCGCGUACCCGCAACGGGACGGAAAGACCCCGUGCACCUUUACUGCAACUUAACAUUGGUACUGGGUAAAUGAUGUGUAGGAUAGGUGGGAGACAUUGAAGCGGGUUCGCCAGGAUUCGUGGAGUCACUGUUGAAAUACCACCCUUUAUUUACUUGGUAUCUAACCCUGUUAGACAGGGGACAUUGUUUGGUGGGUAGUUUGACUGGGGUGGUCGCCUCCAAAAGAGUAACGGAGGCUCCUAAAGGUACCCUCAACACGUUUGGUAAUCGUGUGUAGAGUGUAAUGGCAUAAGGGUGCUUGACUGAGAGACCGACAAGUCGACCAGGUAGGAAACUAGAGCAUAGUGAUCCGGUGGUUCCGUAUGGAAGGGCCAUCGCUCAAAGGAUAAAAGGUACUCC
rnacentral:rRNA from 14 species